GAUGAACGCUGGCGGCGUGCCUAAUACAUGCAAGUCGAGCGAACGGACGAGACGCUUGCUUCUCUGAUGUUAGCGGCGGACGGGUGAGUAACACGUGGAUAACCUACCUAUAAGACUGGGAUAACUUCGGGAAACCGGCGCUAAUACCGUAUGAUAUUUUGAACCGCAUGGUUCAAAAGUGAAAGACGGUCUUGCUGUCACUUAUAGAUGGAUCCGCGCUGCAUUAGCUAGUUGGUAAGGUAACGGCUUACCAAGGCAACGAGGCAUAGCCGACCUGAGAGGGUGAUCGGCCACACUGGAACUGAGACACGGUCCAGACUCCUACGGGAGGCAGCAGUAGGGAAUCUUCCGCAAUGGGCGAAAGCAUGACGGAGCAACGCCGCGUGAGUGAUGAAGGUCUUCGGAUCGUAAAACUCUGUUAUUAGGGAAGAACAGAUGUGUAAGUAACUGUGCACAUCUUGACGGUACCUAAUCAGAAAGCCACGGCUAACUACGUG
rnacentral:rRNA from 1 species